rnacentral:rRNA from 1 species
GAUGAACGCUGACAGAAUGCUUAACACAUGCAAGUCAACUUGAACUUCGGUUUGGGUGGCGGACGGGUGAGUAACGCGUAAAGAACUUGCCUCACAGAUAGGGACAACAUUUGGAAACGAAUGCUAAUACCUGAUAUUAUGAUUUUAGGGCAUCCUAGAAUUAUGAAAGCUAUAUGCGCUGUGAGAGAGCUUUGCGUCCCAUUAGCUAGUUGGAGAGGUAACGGCUCACCAAGGCGAUGAUGGGUAGCCGGCCUGAGAGGGUGAUCGGCCACAAGGGGACUGAGACACGGCCCUUACUCCUACGGGAGGCAGCAGUGGGGAAUAUUGGACAAUGGACCAAGAGUCUGAUCCAGCAAUUCUGUGUGCACGAUGAAGUUUUUCGGAAUGUAAAGUGCUUUCAGUUGGGAAGAAAAAAAUGACGGCACCAACAGAAGAAGUGACGGCUAAAUACGUGCCAGCAGCCGCGGUAAUACGUAUGUCACAAGCGUUAUCCGGAUUUAUUGGGCGUAAAGCGCGUCUAGGUGGUUAUAUAAGUCUGAUGUGAAAAUGCAGGGCUCAACUCUGUAUUGCGUUGGAAACUGUGUAACUAGAGUACUGGAGAGGUAAGCGGAACUACAAGUGUAGAGGUGAAAUUCGUAGAUAUUUGUAGGAAUGCCGAUGGGGAAGCCAGCUUACUGGACAGAUACUGACGCUGAAACGCGAAAGCGUGGGUAGCAAACAGG